GUGCUCGCUUGGGCAGCACAUAUACUAAAAUUGGAAAGAUACAGAGAAGAUUAGCAUGGCCC
rnacentral:snRNA from 1 species